UACGGAGGGGCUAGCGUUGUUCGGAAUUACUGGGCGUAAAGCGCACGUAGGCGGCUUUGCAAGUUAGAGGUGAAAGCCCGGGGCUCAACUCCGGAAUUGCCUUUAAAACUGCAUCGCUAGAAUUGUGGAGAGGUAAGUGGAAUUCCGAGUGUAGAGGUGAAAUUCGUAGAUAUUCGGAAGAACACCAGUGGCGAAGGCGACUUACUGGACACAUAUUGACGCUGAGGUGCGAAAGCGUGGGGAGCAACAGG
rnacentral:rRNA from 1 species